UGGUUUAAUUCGAAGCAACGCGAAGAACCUUACCUAAGCUUGACAUCCCAAUGACAUCUCCUUAAUCGGAGAGUUCCCUUCGGGGACAUUGGUGACAGGUGGUGCAUGGUUGUCGUCAGCUCGUGUCGUGAGAUGUUGGGUUAAGUCCCGCAACGAGCGCAACCCUUGUCUUUAGUUGCCAUCAUUAAGUUGGGCACUCUAGAGAGACUGCCAGGGAUAACCUGGAGGAAGGUGGGGAUGACGUCAAAUCAUCAUGCCCCUUAUGCUUAGGGCUACACACGUGCUACAAUGGGUAGUACAGAGGGUUGCCAAGCCGUAAGGCGGAGCUAAUCCCUUAAAGCUACUCUCAGUUCGGAUUGUAGGCUGAAACUCGCCUACAUGAAGCUGGAGUUACUAGUAAUCGCAGAUCAGAAUGCUGCGGUGAAUGCGUUCCCGGGUCUUGUACACACCGCCCGUCACACCACGGGAGUUGGAGACGCCCGAAGCCGAUUAUCUAACCUUUUGGAAGAAGUCGUCGAAGGUGGAAUCAAUAACUGGGGUGAAGUCGUAACAAGGUAGCCGUAUCGGAAGGUGCGGCUGGAUCACCUCCUUUCUAAGGA
rnacentral:rRNA from 1 species